rnacentral:rRNA from 1 species
GAGUUUGAUCCUGGCUCAGAAUCAACGCUGGCGGCGUGCCUACACAUGCAAGUCGAACGAGAAAGUGGAGCAAUCCAUGAGUACAGUGGCGAACGGGUGAGUAACACGUGACUAACCUGCCUUCGAGUGGGGGAUAACCUCGGGAAACCGGGGCUAAUACCGCAUAACAUCCUCAGGGUGCAAUUCCCAGGGGACCAAAGGGGUAAGACGCUUGAAGAGGGGGUCGCGGCUGAUUAGCUAGUUGGUGAGGUAAUGGCUCACCAAGGCGAAGAUCGGUAGCCGGCCUGAGAGGGCGCACGGCCACACUGGAACUGAAACACGGUCCAGACUCCUACGGGAGGCAGCAGUGGGGAAUUUUGCGCAAUGGGGGAAACCCUGACGCAGCAACGCCGCGUGGAGGAUGAAGCCCCUUGGGGCGUAAACUCCUUUCGAUCGGGACGAUUAUGACGGUACCGGAUGAAGAAGCACCGGCUAACUCUGUGCCAGCAGCCGCGGUAAU